rnacentral:rRNA from 1 species
AUGGCCGCGCCGCACGCCACGCUGCCCCCGGCGACAGCAAGCCCGCCGCCGCGCCGCGGCCUCCGGCGCGAGACGGCGGAGGUGGUGCGCGACUGCAAGAGGCUGGACGGGCUCAUGAAGGCCGGCAGGCUGGCGGACGCCCUGGACCUGUUCGACCGGAUGCCGCGCAAGAACGUCGUGGCCUGGACCUCGGCCGUGUCCGGGCUGGCACGCAACGGGCGCCCCGAGGCCGCGAUCGAGAUGUUCGCGGACAUGGCGGAGUCCGGCGUCGCGCCGAACGACUUCGCGUGCAACGCGGCGCUGGCGGCGUGCGCGGCCGCGGGCGCGCUCCGCGCCGGGGAGCAGCUGCACUCGCUCGCCGUGCGUGCGGGGCUCGCCGGGGACGCGUGGGUUGGGAGCUGCCUGGUCGAGCUCUACGCGCGGUGCGGCUCCACGCGAGCGGCCGAGGCCGUGCUGGCCCGGAUGGAGUCGCCGGACGUCGUGGCGUACACCUCGCUCGUCUCGGCCUUCUGCCGGAGCGGCGAGUUCAAGCGAGCAGCGGAGGCACUCAGCCAGAUGAUGGAGCGGGGAGUGGAGCCGAACGAGCACACGGUGACGAGCAUCCUGGCGGCGGCGUGCUGCCCGCUGGUUCUCGGCGUGCAGAUACAUGGCUACAUGAUCAAGGCGAUGGGCUCGUCACAGAGCGUCUACGCGUGGAGCGCGCUGAUCGAUUUCUACUCAAGAAAUGGUGAGCUCGACAUGGCAAAGACGGUGUUCGACAGCCUCCAGUGCAAGAACGUGGUCACCUGGUGCACCAUGAUGCAGCUGCACAUCAGAGAUGGUAGGCCGGAGGAUGCACUGCAGCUGUUCGACGAAAUGAUCUCGGAGGGCAUUGUUGAUCCAAACGAGUUUGCAUUCUCGAUCGCUCUUGGUGCCUGUGAGUCCAUCGCUCUGGGGAGUCAGCUUCACUCUUUGGCCAUCAAACGUGACCUGGCGAGUGAUCUCCGGGUGUCGAAUGCCCUGCUUUCCAUGUAUGGCAGGAGCGGCCUCGUCGAAGAGCUCGAGGCCGUGCUCCGCGGCAUCGAGGAUCCAGACAUUGUCAGCUGGACAGCAGCAAUCUCUGCAUACUUCCAGAACGGCCAUGGUGAGAAGGCCAUAGCACUGCUCUCCCAGAUGCACUCACAAGGUCUCAUGCCAAACGACUAUGCCUUUUCCAGCGUGCUAAGCUCCUGCGCAGACCUGGCAUUGCUGGACCAAGGGAGUCAGUUCCAUUGCCUAGCCCUGAAGCUAGGGUGCGACAUGAAGAUCUGCACGGGGAACGCGUUGAUCAACAUGUACUCCAAGUGCGGCCAGAUCGUGCCCGCGAGGCUCGUGUUCAACGUCAUGGAUCACCGUGAUGUGACGUCCUGGAACUCGCUGAUCCACGGGUACGCGCAGCACGGUGAGGUGGACAUGGCAUUGAAGGCGUUCAGCGAGAUGUGUUCCAUUGGCGGUGAGCCCAAUGAGUCGACGCUCCUGGGAAUCCUAGCAGCUUGCAACCACGCCGGGAUGGUGGAUGAAGGUGUGGCAUUCUUCAGAUCAGCAAUGGCCGGCCGGUAUGGCGCCUUCCUGACACCCUCACACUAUGCCUGCGCGGUCGACAUGCUGGGCCGUAGUGGCAGGUUCGACGACGCCCUCUGCCUGAUCGAGGAGAUGCCUUUUGAGCCCGACGUCCUAGUGUGGAAGACGAUGUUGGCGUCAUGCAGGCUGCACGGCAACCUGGAGACGGGGAGGCUCGCCGCCGAAAAGCUCGUGGAGCUCUCAGGCCAGGACUCGGCAAGCUACGUGCUGAUGUCUGGCAUACAUGCGAUGCACGGGGAGUGGCGCGACGCCGACAUGGUGCGGCGCAGGAUGGACGAGGCUGGGGUGAAGAAGGAGGCCGGGAUCAGCUGGGUGGAGGUCAGGAACGAGGUGCACGCCUUCGUAGCCCAGGACGCGUCUCACCCGGACUCGCCGUCCAUCUACCGAAUGCUCUGGGAAUUGUCUAAUGCCAUGCGAGAUACAGCCUAUGAUGAAGAUGUUGAAUUGUUGGAUGUACAUAUGCAGAUUUAG